ACCCAGCAAGAAACGUUAGGGUCACAUGAGACUAAUGUAAGACAAACCGGUGAGACAGUUAGGCUAACAAAAUCCCUCACGUUAGGCUCAGGUUCGACAAAAUUCAGGCUAAUAUGACACACUUUUGUUAGGCAUAUUUUCGAGCUCGACCCUUUGUUAGGUAUGUUUUGGCUAACGUGAGCCUCACGUUAGGCAUUUUCUGCACUGGGCUGUUAGACCCCGGUUAGGCAUUAUUUUUAUGCUGGUUUAUUUACAUCUAGCUGUCAUCCGCGGUGGAAGUAAAGUUGUGUUAGUGAAUAUGGUUAGAUUUUCACUGCCACAACUUUACUUUCACCGUGGAUUCCAGCUAGAUGUAAAUAAAUAAACCAGCAUUAAAAUAACUCAACAGCAAGAGGAAUCGAAGGCAAUCAACAGCAGCACAUGAAGAUCCAGCAGGUCCAGGUGGAACGUCUCCCUCUCAGAAAUCAUACGCUCCAGGAAACGGGACUGCCACGGGUAUGUAAUCAAGAAUGGUGCUCCAAGAAGCAACUGAAUCACACCGCAAAUCGCCAGUUCCCCAAUUGUCUUCACAACCACCCAGAUUAGUUAAGAAGAGCAGGAAGAUUGCUGGAGGGAACAGCAGAACGUCUAUUUUGCGGAGACACCCAAACUGAGGAAGAUACUGCCCAGUGUCCACCAGUUGCCGAUGAAGAGAUUUAGGGCAAGGUACAGGAACAAGAUCGCUAUGGAGCCGUUGAACAUUCUCAGGACGUAAAUCGAAUGGAUGCGGUAGGACGUGAAAGUGAUAAUGGUUAGAACGUAUGGAGGUAGCUUUUGGUUCUUGUAGUAAAGUCGCAGAACCAACCACAUCUGUACCAUGUAGAUUCCGACCCGACGAAGAUGUACUGUGUCAUCCGGAUGAUGUGACCGUGGGACGUGAUAAAGUACAGGGCACGGUAGAUGUAAAUAAAUAAAUAAAUCCGGCCGGAUAGACAAGCGUGACUCUCAGCAUAAUUAGUCGUCCCAUUUAGAAAUCCCUCGCACUCAUGUCAAUUUCCGUAUACGGCACAUUCCGCACUACAAAACCAUUCAACACCAACUCGUCAGCCAGAAUAAGUCACGGCAGCUGGGCAGGGUCGAAAAGCAGCGACUUCACGAAAGCCACAUUCGGAUACUGUUCCCGCAGGUUCGUCCUCAACGUUAGGUACUUUGCUUGGUUUUGCGUGGCCUACCGUGCUACCUCGUUUAUAGGUGCCCGAAGGGGUUUUGAUUUUCCCGGUACCCGGUGGUGCCAUGUUGGACUUUUUUCCUCGUCAAAGUAUCCUUUUGUUGAUCACUGCGCAGUAAAUGAUAUCGAUUAGCAAAUCUUUCAAGAAAUGCCUUUAGGAUUCCUCCAGAGAAUUUUGUAAUAUACUUCGUUUCUUUAGAAUGCAUCCACAGAUUCCUUCGGGAACUUGGUUCCAUUAUAGUUUGUGCCAGAACCCUUCCGAGAAUUUUGUGUUAUUUUGUUCAUUCUUCCAAAAACUUUUUCGGGAAAUACUUCUUAUUUAUUUUUCGAAGAAUCCUUAGAGAAAUCAUCCAGAGUUCAUUUCUUUCUGCAGAGUUUAGAUUCUUUCGAGAAUUGUUUCACAGAUUCCUUCGAUAGUCUACCAUAAAAUACUUUGUUAAUUUCUCCAGAAAUUUCUUCGGGAAUCCAUAGAUUCCUUCAAGAAUUUUCCCACAGAUUUCUCUGUUCAUAACUACAUAUUCUUUCAGGCUCGCUUUCAGGAAUCCCUCAAAAGAUUCAUAAGGAUAUCCUCUAGAUUCUUUCGUGAUUUUUUUUUCAAAUAUACAUACCAUAAAAAAGCUUCUUACGGGAUUUCCUCUUCAGAUUUUUUAGGAUUUCGUUCAGAGAUUUCUUCAGGAAUGUUUCUAUCGAAAAAUUCUUUGUUCAUGCCUGCUGAGCUUUUUUUCUGUAUUUCCUCCACAGAUUCAUUUGAGAAUUUCCCAAAAACAUUCUUAGUUCAAUCUUCCAGAAAUUCCUCUGGCAAUGUAUCCACACAUGCCUUUGUUCAUUCCUACAGAGAUUCCUACCGAAAUUACUCCACGGAUUCUUGAGGAAGUUAGUAAUACCACAGAUUCUUUUAGGAAUUUUUCCAUAGAUUCAGUUGAAAGUUGUUGCACAGUUUCGUUCAAGAAUUUUCCAAGAAAAGUCAUUUCUACAGAAAUUAAUUUUUAAAUUGAUUUGAAGAUUGCUCAAAGUAUUCUCUCAGAGAUUCUUUCGUUCAGUUUUCCAGGUGUUCUUUUGUAAAUUUCUCCAGGAUUUGUUCCGGAAUAUCCUCAGGGAUUCUUUCGAGUUCUCCUCUAGAAAUUAUUUCGAAAAUUAGAUUUUUUUUUCUGGAAUUUUCGCACAAAUUACUUCGUACUAUCCUCCAGAGUUUUUUUUUUUUGAGAAUUCUUUCACAUAUUCCUUUGAAAUUUUAUUCAGAAGUUUUUUUGCAUUCCCUCCAGCGUUAUUUAGUUAUUGAGAAAAAAAUCUAAAAUUUCUAAGAGAUAUUUUCAGAGAAAGCUCCAGAGAUUCUAUAGUUAAAAUGUUUCCUCUGUUGAGAAUUCCUUUAAGUAUUUUUCCAGUGAUUGUUAAAACAGUUUCUCUAGAGAUUGUUUCUGAAAUACUUGCAUAUUCCUUAGAAAUUAACCUCAGGGAAUAAACUGAAUCAAGAAAUUAUUUCGAAAUUUCGUACACAGAUUGAUAUAAAAAUUUAACAUUAAUCAUUUUGUUCUUUCCUUCACAGAUUUUUUCAAACAGAGAUAUUUACAAAAAUUGAGCCACAAAUUUCUUACGGAAUUUUUUUACAAACUUCUUAGUUUAUUCCUCAAGAGAUUAUUUUAGGAAGUGCUUCCAAUCAUAGGCGUAGCCAGAGGGGGGCAAGGGGGGCCGUGCCCCCUCCUGGCCGCCAGAUUUUUUUUAAUUCGAGUUAACUCAAAUAUUAUCAAUAAUUAAGAGUUGCAGAAAAAAAAUAUCUAAAAAAAUAAACUAUUCUAUUAAUUAAGGUUUUUAUCCACACUUACUAAACCUUUUUUGCUCGAGAACCAUAGGGAAUUUCACCAAGUAUUCCUCCAACAGAACCACUUCAAUAUAUCAUAGAAUAUUAACAAAUAACUAGCUUGGUUGAAUGGCUAAAUCUUGUGAUGUUUAUUCAUGGAAUACAAAAACAACAUGCCAAAUUUCCCAGAUAUGUAUGCCGAAACAAGUUCCGGUAGGGAAAAGAAGGACUUUGUAGACUUUUUCUCAUAGCUUCCUUCAGUCCGGUGAUCAUGGGUUGCUCCAGAUAAUUUUUCAAGAAUUCUUCAAUGGGUUUCACCAGACAUUCCUCCGGGAAUUUCUCUUGAGAUUCCCAAAGCAAUGUCAACAUAAAUUAUUUUAUGCAUUUCUGCAAGUAUUCAUUAAGAUUUCUUCAGGGAUUUCUCCAUAUAUUCCUUCAAAAGUUCCACUAGAGAUUGCUCCAAUAAUUCAAUCUUGAAUAAUUCGAAGAAUUCCAGCAGCAAUAUCUUCUAGAAACCCUUACAUGAAAUUUUACCAGAGAUUAGGUAAAAUUAAACCAGGAAUUCCUUGAAACAUUGCACAAAGCAUUGUUUUGGGAGUCCGUCCAAAGAUUCCAACAAUAUGUAAUUCGUCCAAAAAUUAUUGCAGACCUGGAUUCCUUCAUACUUUUUUCCUACAGAGAUUCUUCCAGGAAUUUGUUAAGAAAGCUUUCCUGGGAUUUCCUAAGGAAUUUCUCAUGGGACUGCUGUCGGGAUUCAGGAACUCCUGCAGGGCUUUCUUUAGGAACUGCAACAGGGAUUCCUCAAGGAGUUCCUUCGCGAACUCUUUUUAGAAUGCCUUCAAGAUUUCUUUAAGGAUUCCAUCUGCAAUUUUUUCAGGUAUUCUUUCUGGCAUUUCCCCAGGAAUUUAUCAAGGGAUUCUUAAACAAAUUUCUUCAGAGAUUCCUCCAGGAACUAUUCCUCUGGGAAGUGCAGCAGGGAUUCUUCUAGAUAUUUCUCCAGGAGUAUUUCUAGAGAUUCCUUCGGUAAUCCCUACAGGCAUUUCUCUAGGAUAUUCUUCAGAGAUUCCUCCAAGAAUUUCUACAGCGCGGGAAUUGCUUCUGUGAUUCUUUCUUCAACAACUUAUUUUAAAAAUCUCUCUUUUCAAAGAUUCUCCCAGGAACUCUUCUUAAUAUUUCUUCUGGAUUUCCUCCUUGUAUUCUUUAAGGAUUUCCUCCAGAAAUUAAUGCAGUACUUCCUCUAGGAACUGUUAAGUGAUUCCCUUAUUAAUUCCUCUUGAAAUUGCUUCCGGGGUUCCUUCUGGAGUUUCUUCAGGAACUCUUUUAAGGAUUCCUCCGAAAUUCCUUAAGAAAUUUAUCCAUUUUUUUCAGGAACUCCUCUUGGAAUUUUUCCAGGGAUUCCCCUGGGAGUUUUUGCAGGGAUUUCUCUGAAAGUUCUUCCAGGAAUUCAUCUAGAGAUUCCUCCAGGAGUUCCUCUGGAGAUUCCUUCAGGAAUUCAUACGGGUGUUCCUCUAUAUAAAUCCCUCCUACAUUCCUACAUUUUUUUCAGAGAUUCCUCCAAGAAAUCCUCCAAGGUUUCCUUAAGGCAUUCCUUCAUGAAUUCCUCCAGGCAUUCCUCCAGAGAUUCCACCAGAAAUUGCUCUGGGAUUGUUCGUAGAAUUCCACCUGGAAUUCCUACAGAAAUUUAUCCAGGAAUUCUUAAAGGGAUUUCUUCAAGGAUUUUUUCCAGAGACUUGUACAAGAAUUUCUCUAAAGAUUGCUCCAGGAAUUUCUUCAGAGAAUCAUCCAAGAAUUCCACCAGGAAUUCUCCUAGGCAUUCUUCCAAGAAAUUUUCCAGGCAUUCUUCCAGGGAUUCCUCCUUGGAUUCUUGCAGAAAUUUCUCUAGGAUUUUUUUCAGCGAUUCCUCACGGAAUUCCACCAGAUAUUCUUCCAGGAAUUGCUUCAGGGACACCUGGGACUCCUUCAGAAAUCCAUGCAGGCAUUACUCCACGAAUUAUUCAAGGUACUUUCUUAUAAAUUAUGUCAGCAGUUCAUCUAGGAAUAUCUCCAGGAAAUCCUUCAAGAAUUACUUCAGAAAUUCUUUCAGGAUUUUUUUCUAGGAACACCUUUUGGAUUUUUUCCAAGAACUCCAAGAAUUCUUCCAGAUCCAGGAAUUCCGCUAAAAAUUCCUCCAGGAACUUCUUCAGGGAUGUUUCCACGAAUUUCUCCAAUUAUUCCCCAAAGAUUUCUUCAGGAAUUCUUUCGAAGAUUUCUCCAGGAACUCCUCCAGAAAUUUAUCUAGGAAUUCUUCCAGGAAUUUUUCAGGGGAUUUUUCAGAACUUUCUCCCAGGGUUCCUCUGAGAUUCCCUCAGAAAUUUAUUCAGUAAUAAUUCUUACUGGUAUUAGGUAUUCUUACCUCCAGCAAUUCCCAAAAGAAAACCUCCAGGAAUUCCUCCAGGCAUUCCUCCAAGAUUUCAUUCAGGGAUUUCUCCAAGAACUCCUCCGGGACAUUCUCGAGGAAUUACUCCAUGAAUUUCUACAGGAUUUGCCCCAGAAAAUUGUCUAGGAAUUUAUCUAUGAAUUGCUCCUGGACAUUCUUAAGAAAUUAUGUUAGCAAAUACUCCAGGAUUUUCUUCAGGAAUUUUUCUGGGGAUUUUUUCAAAAAUUCUUCCAGGAAAUUCUUCAAAAAUAUCCUAAGGAAUUUCUCCUGAGAUUCCUUCAUAAAUUGCUUCAGGUAUUCUUCCAGGGGUUUCUUCGCGAUUUUUUCAGGGAUUGUCUCAGGGAUUCCUCCAGGAAAGCCUGCGAAGGUUUCUAGAAAUUCAUCCAGUAUUUUUUUUUCAUAAAUUCCGCUAGAUAUUCCACCAGGAGUUCCAUCAUGGAUUCCUCCAGCAAUUCCUACAUAAAUACCUCUAGGAAUUCCUCCAGGCAUUCCUCCAGGAUUUUAUCAAGGAAUUUAUUCAGAAACUCCUCCAAAAAUUACCCCAGGAUUUUUUUCCAGGAAUUCCUUCAAAUAUUUUUCCAGGAAUUGCUCCUGGACAUCUUUCAGAAAUUCUUUCAGCUAUUCCUCCAGGUAUUUCUCCUGAGAUUUCAUUAGGAAUAGCUUCAAGGAUAUAAUGUAGAAUUAGCUCUAAGUUAAAAUACACAUAAAUAAAAACAAAAAAAAGCUUCAAGGAUUCCUCCAGAAAAUCCUUCAAAAGUUUUUCCAAUGAAUCUUCCAGGAAUACCUUCAAAAAUUCUUCCAGGAAUACCUUCAGGAAUUUUCCAGAGAUUUCUUCAGGUAUUCCUCCAGGAAUUUCUCCAGAGAUUCCUCCAGGGAUUUCUCCACAAAUUUAUUCCAGUAUGCCCCCAGUGAUUCUUUCAGGAAUUCCUUCAAGGAUUUCUCAAGGGAUUUUUUUUUUCAGAAAUAGAAAUUGCAAUCUCCCAGAAUUCCUAUGGAGAUUCCUCUAGAACUUCAUCCAGUUAUUCUUUCAAGAUUUCCUUUAGAGAUUCCUCAAGCAAUUCCCACAGGAAUACCUCUAGGAAUUCCUCCAGGCAUUCCUCCAGGAUUUAAUCCAGGAAUUUCUCCAGGAAUUUCUCCAGGAAAUACCCCAGGAAUUUCAUCAGGAUUUCAUCCAGGAAUUGCUUCUGGACAUUCUUCAGAAAUUAUAUCAGCAAUUCCUUCAGUAAUUUCUUCAGGAGAUCCUCUAGGGAUUUGUGCAGAGAUUCUUCCGGGAAAUUCUCCAGUAAUACUUUCAGGAAUUUGUCAAGGAUUCCUCCAGAGAUUCCUCCAGGAUUUUCUUUAGCGAUUCCCCCACGAAUAUCUCCAGGGAUAUUCCCAGAGAUACCUCCAGAGAUUUCUCCAGAAAUUCCUCCAAUGGUUAUUCCAGGAAAUCCUCCUGGAAUUUCUCAAGGGUUUUUUUUCAGAAAUUUCUCCAGCAAUUUCUCCUAGAAUUCCUCUGAAGAUUUCUUCAGGAAUUUUUCCAUUGCUCCAAGAAUUCAUCCAAGCAAAUUCUCCAGGAAUUCCGGCUGGGACUUAUCCAAAUAUUCCUCCAUGAAUUACGCUCGGAAAUUUUUCAGAAAUUUCUCCAGGCAUUCCUCCAGUAUUCUUGCUUGAUUUUCCCAGGAACUACUUCAAGGAUUCCUUAAGGAAUCUUUUCUGGGAUUUCUCCAAGAAUCCCCCCAAAGAAUCCUCCAGAAAUUAAUGUAGGAUUUCUUCUACGAUUACCUCAUGAGGUCUCUUCAGAAAUUUCUUUAACUAUUCCUCCCAUAUUUUUAUACAGGAAUUCCUCCAGGUAUACUUUAAAAAAUUCUUCUAGGGAUUCCUACGGGAAUUUCGCCGGGAAUGCCUCCAGGCAUUCCUGUAGGAAUUAUAACAGCGAUUCAACCAGGUUUUUCUCCAGGAAGUCUUCCAGGGAUUUCUCCGGAAAUUUAUCAAUAUCAAUUUCUCUUCACAAAUUCCCCCUCUCUAUAAAACCUAAUUCAGGAGUUCCUUCGAAAAUAUCAGAAAUCCUACAAACAUGUUUUCACGGAUGUACCCAAGAACUUUUUCAGAAUUAGGGUAAUUCACUAAUUGUUGAAAACCACCCAAAUGUUGAACAGUUUCUGAAAAUGUUAUUACAAAUCUAACUUGAGUAAUUUUUGCUCAAUGUAAACGUAUGAUGUAGAUGCGUAUACAUGUGUGUCACGAUAUUGCUCCAAUUAAGUAACAAAAUUAUAUAUAUUUUUCGUCAAAAAUGAUGAUUGCCAAUUUUGUACCGCUGAUGACACGAAAACUGCACAAUUCUUAAGAUUAAUUUUAAGAAAUUGCUCUUACGAAAUAAGCUUUGCUGGCAAAUCAACCUCAAAUAUCAAAGUCACACCAUAGUUACAAGAACUGGAAGGAUGUCCUUAACAGUUUAACAUUGUUUAAAAUUACAUUUUCAUUGUGAUUUCAUUUGUAGAAAAUAUUUUUCUUAUCACACUAUCAUUAUGCAUCUAGGAUCCAAUUGUUGAACACUGAUAUUAAACAAUGACAUAGCAUGACUGCCAUAUUUUUUUCCACUUUACCUAAUCGUGCAUGUCAUGGGGUUUCAAGGGCGUUCCAGGGAUGUUCCAGGGGUGUUGCAGAGGGCUUCAGGAUGGUUCCAGGGGGUUUCAAUGGGUUCCAAGGGCGUUCCAGAGGGAUUCAGAGUGUUAAGGUGGUCCCAGGAGUAUUUCAGGGCGUUCCAGAGGAAUUUACGAGUGAUCCACGAGUUUGCAAGGGAUUUAAGAGUCGUUGUAGGGGUGUUCUAGGGGGUUGAGUGGGUCCCAUGGGUAUCAGUGUUUUAGUGUUUCAGGGGCUUUCAAAAGAGUUCUUUUCUUCAAUCGUUUUCGUUUCUAGUCAAAUCUUUUCAGACAUUUUUUACAUCUAGUCGUGUUUAAAACAAUUUCAGUCCACUAGAGCUCUCUCCAAAUGAGAAGCAAUUCCCUGUCAUUUGAAUAAAUUGCCACUCAAAUGCCUUACUGGCCACAAAACACGAAAAACGUGGAAAAAUUCCGGCAGAGUGAAAAAUUAUCGGAUGUCGGGUCAAAGUCGGGUCAAAUUUUAUCAAAUGUUGGACCACUGUUGGACUCACAUCGGAUAACUGUAGGGUCUAUGUUGGGUUUGGUAGCCAAAAUAAAAACAGGUGAAUGAUAGGUUGAUGUCGGGUCAUACGUCAUCAAUUACGAACAAAGCUUGAACCGUUCAACAAUUAGCGAGAAUCGUCCAACAUUAGGAUGAGCUAGCUUAAGGAAGCGUUCAACAUUUGGGUAACAGACUUCCCAUACAAAUGUUCUAUUUUCUCUUAGAAAAUGGCAUUUAAGGGAAUUGAAAUUCAAUGGGAAGUAUACGGAAUGAGUGGAUCUAGACGUUCACUGGAUAUUUUUCAACUAAAGUGGAAUUAUGCACGGAAAAAUAAACGAAAACAAAAAUGUCAGUACUAACCGUUCAACAAUUGGCGAAUUACCCUACGUGAUUUUUUUUUAAUAUUUCAAGAAUUUGUGGAGGAAUUCCUCCAGCGAAUAGUAUUGGAAAAUUUAAAAAGGAUGCAUACAGGAACCAGAAAAUUCAAGGUUAGUCUUCAAAAAAGUUCGUAAUUUUCAAAAGAUUUCAGCUAUAAUUUCUUAUAAAUAUUUUGUUGACUUUAACAAUAUAAAAAUCAGAGCAAAAUUAUGCACGAGUGAAUAAAAAUCGCUAAUCUUCCAGAAAUUGGUCACCGCUACCAGCAUCACGUUGAUUUUUAUAGAUCAGGUGAGCUUUUUUUAACGUAUUGAACAAAAUACAACGGAUUAAAUAAUGCUUAAGGAAUAUCAUGUUAAUAUACUCAAUUUCAUCGUGCUGCGUUUAGUUAUAAAAGCUAGUAAAUACAAAUUUUCUAAGGGUGCUUGCCCCCCCUGACCGAAAAGCUGGCUACGCCCUUGCUUCCAAUAUUCCAUUGAAGAAUUAUUCGGAGAUUGUUUCGGGAUUUCCUCUAGAGAUUUAUCUGUAGAUUUAUCUCAAAAACAUUUCUUGCUUCUCCAGAUAUUGCUUCGGAUAUAAUCCACAGAUUUCUCAGAGAAUUGGGUUUUUAAAUUAAGAAAAUGUAUUGAUUUUUUGAUUUUAUACGAAAAAGCACCUUUUUCUGAACCACCAUGAUUUUUUUCAGAUUUUUAGAACUUCAUUUUGAUACCUAAAAUCGAUUUCGAAGAGAUUUUUCAAAAUCACCUUUUGACAGCUGGCCAACUGCUUGACAGCUCCGCCCAGUACAAAAUGCGACGAGGGGUGAUUCGACAAAUCGCUCCCAUACAAACUUCAAACUGAUUUUGAAAUAGGUUCCCGGGCACCAAAAUUCAUGAAAAUUUGGAUUUCGGCUCAGUUUUGCAUGCAGAUUCUGAAUAUGAAAUUAUCUCAACACCGCCAAAAAAAAACAAUUACUCCAGAGAUUCUUAUGUUCAUUUCUAAAGAUGCUCUACCAGAAACUCUUAUGGAGAUUACUAUGACAAUUUUCCAAUGAUUACAUCAAUACUUCGCCCAAAAUUUCCUUCGUCCACAAAUGCAAUCGUUUAUUCCCCCAGAGAUUGUUUUAGAAAUUCCUUCAAAUACUCCUCAAAAAUUUAUUCAGGCUUUUUUUUCAGGUUUUUUUUCAAAAUUAUAAAUAUGAACAAAAUUGUUUUGUUUAAUCCUCUUGAAAUUUCUGCGGGAAUGUCUCUCUCUCUUCUUGGCGUAACGUCCUCACUGGGACAAAGCCUGCUUCUCAGCUUAGUGUUCAAUUGCACUUCCACAGUUUUUAACUGAGAGCUUCCUCUGCCAAUGACCAUUUUGCAUGUGUAUAUCGUGUGGCAGGCACGAAGAUACUCUAUGCCCAAGGAAGUCAAGGAAAUUUCCUUUACGAAAAGAUCCUGGACCGACCGGGAAUCGAACCCGUCACCCUCAGCAUGGUCAUGCUGAAUACCCGUGCGUUUACCGCCUCGGCUAUAUGGGCCUAGAUUUAAAAAAAUACUGCAGAGUUCAUAGAUGUAUUCGUGCACGACUGCAGAAAAAAUAUCUCAAAAAAUCAAACAAUCCUAUAAUUAAGGUUUUUAUUCGCAAUUAUCAAACCUUUUGUACUCCAGAACCACAGAAAAUUUUGCUAAAUAUUUCUCCAAGAGAACCACUUCACUUUCGCUUGGUAGAAUUGCUUAAUUUUGUGAUGUUCAUUCAUGGAAUACAAAAACAUCAUGCCAAAUUUUCCAGAUAGGCUGGAACCGGUUGCGGUAGAUUGUUUCAGGGUUUGUUCUAAGAAAUGCAUCAAGAAUUCCUUCCACAAUUCCUCCAGAAAAGUUUUGCAGAUGCUUCUGCAAGCAAGCAUUGACAAAUUCCUCCAGGAAAUUUUCCAUGGCUUCCUUCAGUGAUUCCAUCAUGGAUUGCUCCAUUUUUUUCAAGAAUUCCUCAAUGGGUUUCACCCGACAUUCCUCCGGGAUAUCUAUAGAGGUUCCUCCAGUGAAUGUUCCAGUGCUUUUUUCGAGGAUUCCUCCAAGAAUUUCUCCAGGGGAUAAUUCGAAGUAUUUCAGCAGGAAUAUCUUCCAGAAACCCGUACAGGGAACUUUGCCAGACAUUAGCUUAAAAUUCAUCCAAAGUUCCUUAAAACAUUAUACAAAACAUUCUUUUGGGAAUCCAUCCAAAACUUCCAAUAAAAACUCGUCUUAAAAUUACUGCAGACGUUGAUUCCUUCGUAUUUUUUUUUUGCUUCAAUUUUUUUUCCGGGAAUUUGUUAAGAAAGCUUUCAUGGGAUUUCCUAAGGAAUUCAUCAUGGGAUUCCCUAAGGAAUUCCUCAUGCGAUUGCUUAUAGGAUUCCUCAUGGGAUUUCUUCAGGAAUUCCUCCAGGUUUUCCUUCAAGAAUUCAUCUAGGGAUUCACCCGGGAAUUUCUUCUGCAUUUCUUUUAGGAACAACUCCAGGGAUUAUUUUAUAAAUUCCUCCAAGGAUUCCCCCAGGAACACUUUUUAAGGAAUUCCUCUUGGAAUUCUUUCAGGAACUCCUUCAGGAAUUAAUCCAGUACUUCCUCCAGGAACUGUUUAGGGAUUCCCUUAGGAAUUGUUUCCGGGAUUCCUUCUGGGGUUUAUUCAGGAACUCCUGCAAGGAUUCCUUGAGAAACUGCUACAGGGGCUCCUCAAGGAGUUCCUCCACGAACUCUUCUUAGUAUUCCUUCAGGAUUUCCUCAAGGAUUCCAUCUGCAGCUUCUUCGGGAAUGCUUCCUGGGAUUCCUCCACGAAUUUCUUCAGAGAUUCCUCCAGAAAUAAUUCUCAGGAUUCCUCAGAGAAUUGCUGCAGGGACUCCCCUAAAAAAUUAUCCAGGGAUGCCUUCAGAAAUGCCUUUAGAGUUUCCUCCAGAAAUUCCUCCUGGAAUUCUUCUACAGAUUCCUUCAGGAGUAUUUUUAGAGAUUCUCCGUUAAUAACUACUAGCAUUCCUGUAGGAUAUCCUUCAGGGAUGCCUACAUGGACUCCUCCAAGAAUUUCUGUAGGGCUUAACUCGGAAAUUCCUUAUGUGAUUUUUUCUGCAACAACUUAUUUUGAAAAUUUCUCUAAAGAUUCUCCCAGGAACUUUUCUUCAAAAAUGCAUUCUCGUAUUCCUUAUGGAACUCCUCCAGGAAUUAAUUUAGUACUUCCUGCAGGAACUGUUUAAGGAUUCCCUUAGGAAUUCCUCUUGAUAUGGCUUCCGGGAUUCCUUCAGGAACUCUUCUAAGACUUCCUCCAGAAUUUCUCCAAGAAUUCCAUCUGCGAUAUCUUCAGGAAUUAUUCCUAAUAUUCCUCUAUGAAUUCCUUAAGAGAUUCAAUUUCUUCACGAAUUUCUCUAGAAAUUUCUCCUGGGAUUCCUCUGGGAGAUCCUGCAGGAAUUUCUUUAAAAAUUCCUCCAGGAAUGCAUCUAGAGAUUCCUCCAGAAAUUUCGCUUGAUAUUCCUCUAGAGAUUUCUCCAUGAGUUCUGCUAUAGAUUCCUUCAGGAAUUCCUACAGGCAUUCCUCUAGGAUAUCGUCCAGGGAUCCCUCCAAGAUUUCUAACAAGAUUUUUUUUCAGAGAUUCCUUCAAGAAACCCUCCAGUUUCCUCAAUGCAUUCCUUCAGCGAUUCCUCCUGUAAUUGCUUCCAGGAUUCUUCCAAGAAUUUCAUAAGGAAGUUCAACAGAUGUUUAUCCAGGAAAUCUUCAAGCGUUAGGACAACUGCAAGGUAAGGGCUUCAAUUUCCAAGGUUUUUUUCCGGAGACUCCUACAGAAAUUCAUCCAAAUAUAUCUCCAGGGAUUACUUCAGGAAAUCCUUCAAGAAUACCACCAGGAAUUCUCCUAGGCAUUCUUCCAGGAAAUUUUUCAGGCAUUCUUUCAGGGAUUUCUCCAAGUUUUUUUUUUCCAGCGAUUUAUCCGGGAAUUCCACCAGAUAUUCCUCCAGGAAUUGCUUCAGGGACCCCUAAAAAAAAUCCUCCAGAAAUUCCCCAGGAGUUCUUCCAGGAGUUUCUCCUGGGAUUGCUUGAGAAGUCCAAGCUGGCAUUCCUCCAGGAUUUCUAAGAGGAUCCAGGAAUUUAUCCAGGGUCUCUUCGUGGAAUUACUCCAGGAAUUUCUUCAGGGAAUCCUCCAGGAAUUUCACCAGGAAUUAAUCAAAGAGUUCCAUCAUAAAUUAUGUCCAGUAAUUUCGCUAGGAAUACCUUCUAGAUUUCAGGAAUUCCUCCAAUAAUUCUUCAAGGUUUUUCUCCAGGAAUUUCGCUCAAAAUUUCUGCAGGAACUUCUUCAGGGAUUUUUCCUGGGAUUUCUCCACGAUUUUUUCCAAGGAUUUCCUCAGGGAUUCCUUCAGAAAUUGCUUCGAGGAUUUCUCCAGGAAUUUCUCCAGAUUUUUUUUAGAAAUUCCUCAGGAAUUUCUCAAGAGAUUUCUUCAGAAAUUUCCUCUAGAGAUUCCCCCAUAAAUUCAUCCAGCAAUUGUUGCAAGAAUUUCAAAGACUCCUCCAGCAAUUCCCAAAGGAAAACCUCCAAGAAUUCUGCCAGGAAUUCCUCCAGGAUUUUAUCCAGGAAUUCCAGGAAUUCUCCAGGAAAUACCCCAAGAAUUUCUUCAGGAUUUUCUCCAGAAAUUUCUCUAGGAAUUGAUCCAGGAAUCGCUCCUGGAAAUCCUUCAGAAAUUAUGUAAGCAAUUUCAUCAGAUUUUUUUCAGAAAACCUCAUGAGGAUUUUUUUCAGAAAUUAUUUCAGGAAAUUCUCAACGAAUUUCUCCGUGGAUUUUCCCAGGGAUUCCUCCAGGAGAUAAUUCGAAGAUUCCUCUAGGAAAUCCUCCAGAAGUUCCUACAGCAAAUCCUCUAGGGAUUUCUUUAUAAACUAUUCCAGAAAAUACUCCAGGAAUACCUUAAAGAAUUGUUCAGGGAUUCCUUCAGGUAUUCCUCCAGGAAUUCCUUUAAGGAUCCAGGGAUUUCUUCACAAAUUUCUUCAAUGAAUUUCGAGGAUUUCUCCAUGAAUGUUUCCAGAAAUUCCGCUAGAAAUUCCUAUAGGAUUUUAUUAAAAGAUUUUUUCAGAAAAAGAAAAAUAAUAUAAUUCCUCUGGAGAUCCAUCUAGAAACUUAUCCAGUAAUUCUUUCAUAAAUUCGUCUAGAGAUUUCUCCAGGAAUUUCAUCAUAAAUUCCUCCAACAUUCCCACAGUAAUUUCUCUAGGCAUUCCUCCAGGAUUUUGUCCAGGAAUUCCUCCAGGAAUUACUUCAGGAAUUGAUCCUGGACAUCCUUCAGAAAUCAUUAACAAUUCCUUUAGGGAGUCCUCCAGGCCUUUCUCCAUGAAUUUCUCCUGAGAUUCCAUCAGGAAUUGCUUCAGGAAUUUCUCUAGAGAUUUCUCCAUGAAUUUCUCCUGGGAUUUUCCCAUGGAUUACUCCAGGAAAUCCUUUAAAGUUUCCUCCAGGAAGUUCUUCAGAAGUUCCACCAAGGAUACUUCCAGGAAGUUCUCCAGGAAUACUUAUAACACGAGACAGACACAACACUUAUUAUUCUUACAAAACGUUAAAAAGAAGAUAUAAUUACCUUUAUGAGUCGACCGGUUUCGGGCUCGUUGUUGCCCAUCGACAGGACGAUGUCUGACCAGUCGGACUUCCAGGGAUUGCUCCAGGAGUUCCUCAAAUGAUUUCUUCAGAAAUUCCUCUCAGGUUCUGUUCAAAAAUUCAUUCAGGAGAUUCAUCGGAAAUUUCAGAUAUCCUUCAAUCAUCUUUUCAGGGAUGUACACAAGAACUUCUCUAGGAACACCUGUUUUUUUUUUAAAUUAUUUCAAGAAUUUCUGGAGAACUUGCUACCAGCACCACGUUGGUUUAUGUAGAUCAGGUGAGCUUUUUUAACAUAUUGUACAAAAUACAACAACGUGAUUGCUGUAGGGUUGGUUAAUUAUUGCUUUUAGAUUAUAAUGUUAUUAUAUUUAAUAUCAUCGUAUUGUGUAUAGUUAUAAAAGCUAAAAGGUACAAAUUUGCUAAGGGUGCUUGCCCUCCCUGACCGAAAAGCUGGCUACGCCCUUGCCUCCUGAGUUUUUUAUCUGUAUUUCUUUCAUAGAUUAAUUUGAGAAUAGCUUUACAGAUGCCUUCAAGAAUUUUCCAAGUACCGUAAACCGGGGUCAAAUUGAUCUUCCGGUCGAAAUUGAUCAGACGUUUUUCCGUUAGAUAAAGUAUGUUUUAAAUAGUUUUCUCAUAUGUAUCGUGUAGUAUAGGAUUCCUACAUCACGGUACUUGGAAGGAAACUAU